UCAUUUUCAUUUUGCCCAGUCCACGACUCCGCCUCGGUGCUUCCGAACGCGCCGACUCGCUCGCUCUGAAAGAAAGAGAGGUCCCAUCUUCCAUCUCUUCUUUCACCUGCAUUUGCCAAUAAUUUUGAUUCAUUCACACUUCACUUCAGUCAAUUUCUGACAUCAGUCCGCUGUGGUUGUGUGCCGAGUUUUAGUGAAAAUAAAAUAUAAUAUUUUUUAUAACAGUACAGAACAAAAGAAAUAAAUCGCUAUGGCUGAAACGGAAAUAUUAUCUAAUGCCAGUGAGAAUAAUAGUGAUCAAUUCUUUGAGGGAGUUGAGAAACUUAUUGAGAUAUGGUUCACUCCCGCAAAAAAUGCGGACCUAAGGAGGAUUCCGCGCCAACAAUGGGAGAAGGUGCUGAAAAUUGUCCGCUGCGAAAUUAUCUCUUUCACACAGAGCGAGCAAGUCGACGCCUAUGUUCUUAGCGAAAGCAGCAUGUUCGUAUCGAAGCGUCGCUUCAUCCUGAAGACGUGCGGCACGACGACGCCGCUGCGCUGCGUGCGCGCGGUCCUGGCGCUAGCACGCGACGUGGCCGGGCACGAGCGCGUGCACAACGUGUUCUAUUCGCGCCGGGAGUUCGCACGCCCUAAAGCUCAGUUGCAACCGCACGACAACUUUGAUUCCGAGGUGGAGCUCCUGGACUCCUACUUCGGCGACGGACGCGCGUACAUUAUGGGUCCUGAGAAGGACUGCUGGUACCUCUACACUUUAUUGCCGCUUGAAGGUACAGUAGACGCGCUAGAAAAGGAACAGAUCCAGGUGAACUGCUGCGAGUCGUCGGAGCCGGACCAGACCAUCGAGAUCCUGAUGUCGGACCUGGAUCCCGCCGUCAUGGAUAUCUUCUCGAGGGCCAGCUCCGCCACAGCUGCCGAAGCUACUAAAGCGUCAGGCAUUGACAAAAUCAUUCCAGGGAUGGUGAUAGACGACUUCCUGUUCGACCCGUGCGGGUAUUCCAUGAACGGAGUCGCCAAAGACGGGUGCUACAUGACGAUCCACAUUACGCCAGAGCGCGCAUGUUCGUACGUGUCGUUUGAAUCCAACGUGCCAGCUGCUAGUUAUGACGACCUCAUCAAGAGAGUGUUGGACGCCUUCCGCCCUGCCAAGUUCGUGCUCACGGUCUUCGCGUCGCCGGACUCGCCCGGCGCAGACACGCCUCGCCAACUAAAAAAGAUAUCCUCGCUAUUCGCGUUCGAGCAGAAGGACGCGCAAUUCGUGCGUUUCGCGGGCUACGCGCUGCACUACGCGCUGUACUGCAAGUUCCCGAGCUGAGGCCGCGCGCGCCCGCCGCGCCCCGCCCCGCCCCGCCGCGCCCCGCGCCGCGCGCUCGCCGCCAUCCUGCAGGCGACACACACACACACACACACACACACAUACUAAGACUUUCGUAUACCUAGGGAAGUGAUAGCGUCCACCUCUGGGUUGACUACACCUGACUAUUGUAGCGUCCACCAUCUAGGUCGACUGGUGUUCUAAAACCAGUCCACAUCUGUUGACUACACCUUAACUAUUGUAGCGUCCACCACCUUGGUUGACUACACCUGACUAUUGUUAUAUCUGCGGGAAGAGCGUCCGCGCCCGCGCCGCGCAGGGCGCCGCCACGUCUCAAUAUACAAUUAGCGAACUUA